rnacentral:rRNA from 1 species
AGUGAACGCUGGCGGCAGGCCUAACACAUGCAAGUCGAACGGCAGCACAAGAGAGCUUGCUCUCUGGGUGGCGAGUGGCGGACGGGUGAGGAAUGCAUCGGAAUCUGCCCAUUUGUGGGGGAUAACCUCGGGAAACCGGGACUAAUACCGCAUACGACCUACGGGUGAAAGCAGGGGAUCUUCGGACCUUGCGCAGAUGGUUGAGCCGAUGCCGGUUUAGCUAGUUGGAGGGGUAAAGGCCCACCAAGGCGACGAUCCGUAGCUGGGCUGAGAGGAUGAUAAGCCAAACUGGGACUGAGAAACGGCCCAGACUCCUAAGGGAGGCAGCAGUGGGGAAUAUUGGACAAUGGGCGCAAGCCUGAUCCAGCCAUGCCGCGUGUGUGAAGAAGGCCUUCGGGUUGUAAAGCACUUUUGUUGGGAAAGAAAAGCAGCCGGUUAAUACCCGGUUGUCAUGACGGUACCCAAAGAAUAAGCACCGGCUAACUUCGUG